UACGUAGGGACCGAGCGUUGUCCGGAAUCAUUGGGCGUAAAGAGCGUGUAGGCGGCCACUUAAGUCCUGCGUGAAAUCUUGCGGCUCAACCGCAAGCGGUCGUGGGAAACUGGGUGGCUAGAGUACGGGAGAGGAGAGUGGAAUUCCUGGUGUAGCGGUGGAAUGCGCAGAUAUCAGGAAGAACACCCGUGGCGAAGGCGGCUCUCUGGAACGCAACUGACGCUGAGACGCGAAAGCGUGGGGAGCAAACAGG
rnacentral:rRNA from 1 species